CUUGUUUUGUUUUUCAGAGUCAAGGAAACUUAUUUUGAGCUAUUUAUAACCUUUAAUAAUUGGGUAAGGUAUACUCCUGUGAACAAAAUUUGGAGCACAUUUGGUCUCUCUCUCUCUCUGCCUGGCUUCUCUAGAAUUUCAAAACUAGCUGUGAGUAUUCUUAACUUAUGACAAUAUAGUUGUUUGCAUCAGUGCAAUAAGAAUUCAUUUUUCUUUUUCAACAGGAUGCAACUGGAAAAACUUGUUGUUUCACCAAGGCUUUGACUGGAAGGGUACAUUUCCCUUUAAGGAGUUAAGCUUGACUUGGCAGAGCUGAUAAAAGCCUCUUGGAAAAACUGGCCUUAUACCUUGUUACACAGUCCCCAAACAAGGUUCCUAACCAGCAGUGAGUAAAGAAUGUCACUUUCCAACAGGCCCAGGAAUCACGUGCUCUUGGGACCUCAAGAAGAGAGGAGUUUACCCAACUCACAGGUAAUUGUGUCUCUGUAAUAUGGGACACUCACUUCAGAUGCAUCCUCCAAACUGGGAAAAGUUAAUUUUGAAAACCUUAAACUGGUUGGCUUAGGACUGGGCUCACAAAAGGUUUACCAGAAGACUGACAUGCUGGCAAAAGCAUGAAAGUUUUUUUGCCAGCUGGGCUUUUGGCCUCCGUCUCCCUGUGCAAACUGGUAAAAGGCUUUGGGAUUUUUAAGCUGUCCUUACCCCCACCACUGUUUUGUUUUAAUACAUGUUUUCUAAUAACCUGGUUUUUCUUUUCACCUUCAGGCCAUCAAACUCCAAACCAUCACGCAACCAGACUGGAGCCUCAAACAAUAACCUUUUUUGCCAGGAACCCUUUCAUAGGCCCCUGAGGGAGAUCAGACUGCUGUUUUCUGAAAACAGUACCCUCUGUCAGCAGGAAGCGGUUAAGAUUGGUCUUCAUCCUUAUCUUUAUUCUAACGGCAGUUAGAUAUACUUCUUUAGGUGCAAAAUGAUAGAUGCAGGAGGCAGAUGAGGGAACCUGCCCAGGGCAUUGUAUGUGUAUGCCUGCAAUGGACUAGGGACCCACCGGCACACUGGAAGAGUGGGGUGGAGCCACUGGAACGUUUACACUUUGUGCAGAAGGGAGGAGCCUGGCAUCUUCAGUUCCUGUGUGGUUGCCUGGUGUUCAAGAUUCCCUCUUGCUUUGCUGAGAGUUGUUUUUCCUUUUCACCCAAUAAAUUCUGC
rnacentral:lncRNA from 1 species